AUUGAACGCUGGCGGCAUGCCUAACACAUGCAAGUCGAACGCGUGGCGGACGGGUGAGAAACGUCUGUGAAACUCCCAGAUGGCGGGGGAUAAUUACUGGAAACGGUAGCUAAUACCGCAUAGCAUCAGAUGUGCGCAGAUGGGAUUAGCUAGUUGGUGGGGGAACGGCUCACAAAGGCGACGAUCCCUAGCUGAUCUGAGAGGAUGACCGGCCACACUGGAACUGAGACACGGUCCAGACUCCUACGGGAGGCAGCAGUGGGGAAUAUUGCGCAAUGGGCGCAAGCCUGAUGCAGCCAUGCCGCGUGUGUGAAGAAGGCCUUCGGGUUGUAAAGCACUGUCAGCGGGGAGGCGUUACCCGCAGAAGAAGCACCGGCUAACUCCGUGCCAGCAGCCGCGGUAAUUC
rnacentral:rRNA from 1 species